CUACGGAGGGUGCAAGCGUUACUCGGAAUCACUGGGCGUAAAGCGCGCGCAGGCGGUCUUUUAAGUUGGAUGUGAAAGCCUACGGCUCAACCGUAGAACUGCAUCCAAAACUAUUAGACUAGAGUGUGGGAGAGGAAGAUGGAAUUAGUUGUGUAGGGGUAAAAUCCGUAGAGAUAACUAGGAAUACCAAAAGCGAAGGCAAUCUUCUGGAACACUACUGACGCUGAGGCGCGAAAGCGUGGGGAGCAAACGGGAUUAGAAACCCUAGUAGUCC
rnacentral:rRNA from 1 species